GCAGCUUAAAUUCACAGAUCCUCGGGUCCUCUGAUCGGUCAAGAUUAGGGCAGCGAACAAUGACAGCUGUGUGUUAGCCACUUCCACUGAAGGCGUUUUCAGCAGCUAAGAAGCUCUGGAAAGCUGAAGUGGAAAACAGUUUGCUGGAGGAUCUGAAGACAGCUUUAUACAGGAGUCCUCCCGCUGCCUGAGUUCUCAAAGGUGAUGUAGAGGAGGGAAUUCAUUCACCUUCUCCAGAGAACUUUCCAGAGGUUUUACUUGUAGCAGGGCUCACUCCUGUCAUCUCAGUCCUCAGAAGGGAGAAGCAAGAGGAUCACAGAUUCCAGGUAUCUAACUCAGGUCGUCAACCUUGGCAGCAAGCCACUACAGACACUGGAGUGCGUAGUUUUUAUGUCAACUUGACACAAGCUACAGUCAUUUGGAAAGAAAAAAAAAAAAAAAAACCUCAUCUGAAAAAAUGACCCUGACAGAUUGGCUUGUGGACAAGUCUAUGGGGCUUUUCCUGAUUGAUGAUUGAUGUGGGAGGGCGCGUUUCACAGGCCUGGGCUGAUGGUCUUGGACACUAUAAGAAAGCAGGCUGAAUGAUAAGCAGCCAGGAGCAAAACAAAACAGUUAGCAGCACUCUUCCACGGCCUCUGCUUCAGCUCCUGCCUCACGGUUCCUGCCUUGGAGAACUGCCCUGACUGCCUUCUGUGAUGGACUGGCUGUGUUGUGGAAGUGUAAAAUGAAACAAUCCAGCUGUGCAGUGGCGGCGCGCACCUCUGAUCCCAGCACUUGGGAGGCAGAGGCAAGUCGGAUCUCUGUGAAUGACAAGGUUUCGCACACCUUGUCUUGAAAAACACGCAAACAAAGAAAAAGAUAAAAUAAACCCUUUCCCUUCCCAAA